GCCGAGAUGGUGAAAUUGGCAAACACGCAGCGUUCAGGGCGCUGUGGGCUUACGCCCUUGGGGGUUCAACUCCCCCUCUCGGCACCA
rnacentral:tRNA from 1 species